CCUACGCGAGGCAGCAGUGGGGGAUAUUGCACAAUGGGGGAAACCCUGAUGCAGCGACGCCGCGUGUAGGAAGACGGUCCUCUGGAUUGUACACUACUGUCCCCAGGGACGAAGAUGACGGUACCUGGGGAGGAAGCUCCGGCUAACUACGUUCCAGCAGCCGCGGUAAUACGUAGGGAGCGAGCUUUGUCCGGAAUUACUGGGUGUAAAGGGAGCGUAGGCGGGGAUGCAAGUUGGGUGUUAAAUCUACGGGCUCAACUGGUAGUCGCACUCAAAACUGCAGCUCUUGAGUGAAGUAGAGGCAGGCGGAAGUCCUAGUGUAGCGGUGAAAUGCGUAGAUAUUAGGAGGAACACCAGUGGCGAAGGCGGCCUGCUGGGCUUUUACUGACGCUGAGGCUCGAAAGUGUGGGGAGCAAACAGGAUUAGAUACCCUAGUAGUC
rnacentral:rRNA from 1 species